UCUGUGGAUCAGUGGCGAACGGGUGAGUAACACGUGAGCAACCUGCCCCUGACUCUGGGAUAAGCGCUGGAAACGGCGUCUAAUACUGGAUAUGAGCUGCGAUCGCAUGGUCAGCAGUUGGAAAGAUUUUUCGGUCUGGGAUGGGCUCACGGCCUAUCAGCUUGUUGGUGAGGUAAUGGCUCACCAAGGCGUCGACGGGUAGCCGGCCUGAGAGGGUGACCGGCCACACUGGGACUGAGACACGGCCCAGACUCCUACGGGAGGCAGCAGUGGGGAAUAUUGCACAAUGGGCGAAAGCCUGAUGCAGCAACGCCGCGUGAGGGAUGACGGCCUUCGGGUUGUAAACCUCUUUUAGCAGGGAAGAAGCGAAAGUGACGGUACCUGCAGAAAAAGCGCCGGCUAACUACGUGCCAGCAGCCGCGGUAAUACGUAGGGCGCAAGCGUUAUCCGGAAUUAUUGGGCGUAAAGAGCUCGUAGGCGGUUUGUCGCGUCUGCUGUGAAAUCCCGAGGCUCAACCUCGGGUCUGCAGUGGGUACGGGCAGACUAGAGUGCGGUAGGGGAGAUUGGAAUUCCUGGUGUAGCGGUGGAAUGCGCAGAUAUCAGGAGGAACACCGAUGGCGAAGGCAGAUCUCUGGGCCGUUACUGACGCUGAGGAGCGAAAGGGUGGGGAGCAAACAGGCUUAGAUACCCUGGUAGUCCACCCCGUAAACGUUGGGAACUAGUUGUGGGGUCCAUUCCACGGAUUCCGUGACGCAGCUAACGCAUUAAGUUCCCCGCCUGGGGAGUACGGCCGCAAGGCU
rnacentral:rRNA from 1 species